rnacentral:rRNA from 1 species
CCUACGGGGGGCAGCAGUGGGGGAUAUUGGACAAUGGAGGCAACCCUGAUCCAGCGACGCCGCGUGAGUGAAGAAGUAUCUCGGUAUGUAAAGCUCUAUCAGCAGGGAAGAAGAAAUGACGGUACCUGAGUAAAAAGCCCCGGCUAACUACGUGCCAGCAGCCGCGGUAAUACGUAGGGGGCAAGCGUUAGCCGGAAUUACUGGGGGUAAAGGGAGCGUAGACGGUGAUGUAAGUUUGGAGUGAAAGGCUGGGGCCCAACCCCCGGACUGCUCUGGAAACUAUGUGACUGGAGUGCAGGAGAGGUGAGCAGAAUUCCGAGUGUAGCGGUGAAAUGCGUAGAUAUUAGGAGGAACACCAGUGGCGAAGGCGGCUCUCUGGACUGUAACUGACGUUGAGGCACGAAAGCGUGGGGAGCAAACAGGAUUAGAUACCCCGGUAGUC